rnacentral:rRNA from 1 species
GACGAACGCUGGCGGCGUGCCUAAUACAUGCAAGUGGGACGCAAGAGGACACACUGUGCUUGCACACCGUGUUUUCUUGAGUCGCGAACGGGUGAGUAACGCGUAGGUAACCUGCCUAUUAGCGGGGGAUAACUAUUGGAAACGAUAGCUAAUACCGCAUAAUAUUAAUUAUUGCAUGAUAAUUGAUUGAAAGAUGCAAGCGCAUCACUAGUAGAUGGACCUGCGUUGUAUUAGCUAGUUGGUAAGGUAAGAGCUUACCAAGGCGACGAUACAUAGCCGACCUGAGAGGGUGAUCGGCCACACUGGGACUGAGACACGGCCCAGACUCCUACGGGAGGCAGCAGUAGGGAAUCUUCGGCAAUGGACGAAAGUCUGACCGAGCAACGCCGCGUGAGUGAAGAAGGUUUUCGGAUCGUAAAGCUCUGUUGUAAGUCAAGAACGUGU